GACGAACGCUGGCGGCGUGCUUAACACAUGCAAGUCGAACGAAGAGCGAUGGAAGCUUGCUUCUAUCAAUCUUAGUGGCGAACGGGUGAGUAACGCGUAAUCAACCUGCCCUUCAGAGGGGGACAACAGUUGGAAACGACUGCUAAUACCGCAUACGAUCUAAUCUCGGCAUCGAGGAUGGAUGAAAGGUGGCCUCUACAUGUAAGCUAUCACUGAAGGAGGGGAUUGCGUCUGAGUAGCUAGUUGGAGGGGUAACGGCCCACCAAGGCGAUGAUCAGUAGCCGGUCUGAGAGGAUGAACGGCCACAUUGGGACUGAGACACGGCCCAGACUCCUACGGGAGGCAGCAGUGGGGAAUCUUCCGCAAUGGACGAAAGUCUGACGGAGCAACGCCGCGUGAGUGAUGACGGCCUUCGGGUUGUAAAGCUCUGUUAAUCGGGACGAAAGGCCUUCUUGCGAAUAGUGAGAAGGAUUGACGGUACCGGAAUAGAAAGCCACGGCUAACUACGUG
rnacentral:rRNA from 1 species